rnacentral:lncRNA from 1 species
CCGGUACAGGACAUAUUUGCCUUAUACAAUGGUGUUUACAUUGAUCUUCACAGAGUUUGGAGUCAGUUUAAAUGGAGAAGACUUCAAGGAUCUUGAGCACUCAAACUAUUUAAAUGAGGACACUUUUCAUCGGAUGAAGCUUGAGAAGAGGGGAGACAGAUGGGUAAGAAAGAAAUCUGGACAGGAGGAUAUGGAGCGAAAGCAAGAAGUGGCAGAGCAUGAGCCAUAAGAUGAAGCUAGGUCUGGGCCAUCUUCUCCAAUAGCAGCAGCAGAUUCAACAGCACCAGCAGAGGCUCUUCACCCCA